rnacentral:rRNA from 1 species
UAUUUUGUUACGGUUUCAUAUUUACCUUUCGUCUAUUAACCAUGGAAUUUAUUGAGAGAACAGUUAAGAAUUUUUCUAAUGUUACGAAAGUAAGCAGAAGUAAACGUAUAUGUUUAGGGCACAGAUAGUGCCAGCAGCCGCGGUCAUACUAUCUCUAGAGAGUAAAUAGUAAAUAGUUAUAUAAUAUUAAUUUCUUUAUACCUUUUUAGUGAAAUAUAUUGUAUUAUAAAAUUUAUAAUUAAUAAAUAAAUUUAAGUAAGACAUACCACAAACAAGGAUUAGAUACCCUUCUAUGAUGUAUAUAAAAUAAUAUAACUGGGUAUUAAAGUAUUAUUACCUAAACCUAAAAAACAUGGCGGUAAUUUUAAUUCUUAGGGGAACUUACCUAUUAAAUUGAUAACCACCAAGAAAAGUCGCUUUAGGUAAAAUUUUGUAUGCCGUCGUCUAGAAUAAAUAUUAUAUUUAUUCAAAAUUUACAUUUAUAAGAAGACAGAUCUAGGUGCAGAUAAUCCUAAAGGUUAGGCGAGUUACAAUAAGAAUUUAUAAUUCUAUUUGUUCUAGUAAAGAACUUUAAAAUAGUUGGACUUAAAAGUAAGAAGUUUAUUAUACUUAUUAUCUGAAUAUAAAUUGAAAUUGUGC